UGGGGAAUUUUGGACAAUGGGCGAAAGCCUGAUCCAGCAAUGCCGCGUGUGUGAAGAAGGCCCUCGGGUUGUAAAGCACUUUUGUCCGGAAAGAAAUCCUUGGCUCUAAUACAGUCGGGGGGAUGACGGUACCGGAAGAAUAAGCACCGGCUAACUACGUGCCAGCAGCCGCGGUAAUACGUAGGGUGCAAGCGUUAAUCGGAAUUACUGGGCGUAAAGCGUGCGCAGGCGGUUUGCUAAGACCGAUGUGAAAUCCCCGGGCUAACCUGGGGAACUGCAUUGGUGACUGGCAGGCUAGAGUAUGGCAGAGGGGGGUAGAAUUCCACGUGUAGCAGUGAAAUGCGUAGAGAUGUGGAGGAAUACCGAUGGCGAAGGCAGCCCCCUGGGGCCAAAUACUGACGCUCAUGCACGAAAGCGUGGGGGAGCAAAACAGGAUUAGAUACCCUGGUAGUCCCACGCCCUAAACGAUGUCAACUAGUUGUUGGGGAUUCAUUUCCUUAGUAACGUAGCUAACGCGUGAAGUUGACCGCCUGGGGAGUACGGUCGCAAGAUUAAAACUCAAAUGAAUU
rnacentral:rRNA from 1 species